CGCGGUGUAGCUCAGCUUGGCUAGAGCGUCCGGUUCAUACCCGGGAGGUCGUGGGUUCGAUCCCCUCCACCGCGA
rnacentral:tRNA from 1 species